AGUAAAUAGAUACCCAGGUAGUCCACGCCGUAAACGAUGUCGACUUGGAGGUUGUGCCCUUGAGGCGUGGCUUCCGGAGCUAAACGCGUUAAGUCGACCGCCUGGGGAGUACGGCCGCAAGGUUAAAACUCAAAUGAAUUGACGGGGCCCGCACAAGCGGUGGAGCAUGUGGUUUAAUUCGAUGCAACGCGAAGAACCUUACCUACUCUUGACAUCCAGAGAACUUAGCAGAGAUGCUUUGGUGCCUUCGGGAACUCUGAGACAGGUGCUGCAUGGCUGUCGUCAGCUCGUGUUGUGAAAUGUUGGGUUAAGUCCCGCAACGAGCGCAACCCUUAUCCUUGUUGCCAGCGGUUAGGCCGGGAACUCAAAGGAGACUGCCAGUGAUAAACCUGGAGGAAGGUGGGGAUGACGUCAAGUCACCAUGGCCCUUACGAGUAGGGCUACACACGUGCUACAAUGGCGCAUACAAAGAGAAGCGACCUCGCGAGAGCAAGCGGACCUCAUAAAGUGCGUCGUAGUCCGG
rnacentral:rRNA from 1 species